UACGUAGGGUCCGAGCGUUGUCCGGAAUCAUUGGGCGUAAAGCGCGUGUAGGCGGUUCGGUAAGUCCGCUGUGAAAGUCGGGGGCUCAACCCUCGGAUGCCGGUGGAUAUUGUCGAGCUUGAGUACGGAAGAGGCGAGUGGAAUUCCCGGUGUAGCGGUGAAAUGCGCAGAUAUCGGGAGGAACACCAAUUGCGAAGGCAGCUCGCUGGGACGUCACUGACGCUGAGACGCGAAAGCGUGGGGAGCAAACAGG
rnacentral:rRNA from 1 species